CCCUACGGGGCGCAGCAGGCGCGAAAACUUUACAAUGCGGGAAACCGUGAUAAGGGAACUCCGAGUGCCCGUAAACGCGGGCUGUCCAUCUGCUUAAAAAACAGGUGAAGAAAGGGCCGGGCAAGACCGGUGCCAGCCGCCGCGGUAAUACCGGCGGCUCGAGUGGUGGCCACUAUUACUGGGCUUAAAGCGUCCGUAGCUUGGUUGUUAAGUCUCUUGGGAAAUCUGUCGGCUUAACCGACAGGCGUUUAAGGGGUACUGGCAAUCUAGGGACCGGGAGAGGUGAGAGGUACUCCAGGGGUAGGAGUGAAAUCCUGUAAUCC
rnacentral:rRNA from 1 species